AUUGAACGCUGGCGGCAGGCCUAACACAUGCAAGUCGAACGGCAGCACAGUGCGUGCUUGUGGUUUCAGGGGGGGAGUGGCGAGCAAGUCCGAGGAAUCUGCCUAUCUACGGUGGCGAACGUCCUGAAACGGGCGCUAUUACGGCAAUCGUGCUGAGGGCGUAAGGGUGGGAGCAUCGGAUCUUACGCCCUCGCGCGAGCCUAGGUCGGAUUAGCUAGUUGGCGGGGUAAAGGCCCACCAAGGCGACGAUCCGUAGCUGGUCUGAGAGGAUGAUCAGUCACACUGGAACUGAGACACGGUCCAGACUCCUACGGGAGGCAGCAGUGGGGAAUAUUGGACAAUGGGCGAAAGCCUGAUCCAGCCAUACCGCGUGUGUGAAGAAGGCCUUCGGGUUGUAAAGCCCUUUUGGUUGGGAAGAAAAGCAGCAGGUUAAUACCCUGCUGUUUUGACGUUACCCACAGAAUAAGCACCGGCUAACUUCGUG
rnacentral:rRNA from 1 species